rnacentral:rRNA from 1 species
GUGAGGAAUAUUGGUCAAUGGACGAGAGUCUGAACCAGCCAAGUAGCGUGAAGGAUGAAGGUUCUAUGGAUUGUAAACUUCUUUUAUACGGGAAUAAACGAAUCCACGCGUGGAUUUUUGCAUGUACCGUAUGAAUAAGGAUCGGCUAACUCCGUGCCAGCAGCCGCGGUAAUACGGAGGAUCCGAGCGUUAUCCGGAUUUAUUGGGUUUAAAGGGAGCGUAGAUGGGUUGUUAAGUCAGUUGUGAAAGUUUGCGGCUCAACCGUAAAAUUGCAAUUGAUACUGGCAGUCUUGAGUACAGUUGAGGUAGGCGGAAUUCGUGGUGUAGCGGUGAAAUGCUUAGAUAUCACGAAGAACUCCGAUUGCGAAGGCAGCUUACUAACCUGUAACUGACAUUGAUGCUCGAAAGUGUGGGUAUCAAACAGGAUUAGAAACCCUAGUAGUCC